UCCCUGGUGGCUCAGACGGUAAAGCGUCUGCCUACAAUGCAGGAGACCCGGGUUUGAUCCCUGGGUGGGGAA
rnacentral:tRNA from 1 species